rnacentral:tRNA from 1 species
GCCGCCGUAGCGUAGUGGUAGCGCAAUCCCUUGGUAAGGGAUAGGUCGUCAGUUCAAUUCUGACCGGCGGCACCA